rnacentral:rRNA from 1 species
GACGUAGGGCGCGAGCGUUGUCCGGAUUUAUUGGGCGUAAAGAGCUCGUAGGCGGUCUGUCGCGUCGGAUGUGAAAACCCAGGGCUCAACCCUGGGCCUGCAUUCGAUACGGGCAGACUAGAGUUCGGUAGGGGAGACUGGAAUUCCUGGUGUAGCGGUGAAAUGCGCAGAUAUCAGGAGGAACACCGGUGGCGAAGGCGGGUCUCUGGGCCGAAACUGACGCUGAGGAACGAAAGCGUGGGGAGCAAACAGG